rnacentral:rRNA from 1 species
UGGGGGAUAUUGCACAAUGGGCGAAAGCCUGAUGCAGCGACGCCGCGUGGGGGAUGAAGGCUUUCGGGUUGUAAACCUCUUUCGCUAUCGAACAAGGCCCGCUUAGGGUGGGUUGAGGGUAGGUGGAGAAGAAGCGCCGGCUAACUACGUGCCAGCAGCCGCGGUAAUACGUAGGGCGCGAGCGUCGUCCGGAAUUAUUGGGCGUAAAGGGCUUGUAGGCGGCUUGUUGCGCCUGCUGUGAAAACGCGGGGCUUAACUUCGCGCGUGCAGUGGGUACGAGCAGGUUUGAGUGUUGUAGGGGGGACUGGAAUUCCCGGUGUAGCGGUGGAAUGCGCAGAUAUCUGGAGGAAAACCGAUGGCGAAGGCAGGUCACUGGGCCAUUACUGACGCUGAGGAGCGAAAGCAUGGGUAGCGAACAGG